GUUUGUGUGAGCUCUUCAAUUAAUGAGAUAAUUAAGCUUAUUAAGUGUAGAAAUCGACUUGAUUUCACUUUGUAAACAGUUCAGAGACUAUGAGAUGUUCUGUUGUAUGUUUUAUGUGCAAGUGGAUUUAGAAUGUGAGGAUUUAUCGUGUGGGCCGUAUGCAUGCAGUGUUAAUGUGGUUCUGAGUUGUUAGCCAGCUAACAUGUGUUGUAUUAUACAGGAAUGCAUUGUCAAAAGGUGACCACGAGUGAUUUUUUCUCCUUUAUUGACAUUAAUCCACAAAGAAGUGUUGAUUGGUGGGAGAGACUGUUAAUAAACCUUCUCUGGUGAACUGAACUAAAGCGUCCAGAGACUUCCUUGAACACAACGCAGAUAAGAGUAGCAGCGGUUAGCAUGAGACCGGCUACAAUCGCACGUGCAACAGCAAAAUUUUCGCGGGGAAAUGGCUACGGGGCCUCGCGCCAUCUGUUUCUUACUGGAUGCGCGUGCACGCUAUAAAGGUUAGCUUCGGAUGCUAAAGGUUCUGACAGAAGACAAGAGAAGAAAAGCUGGGCAGGAUUUUUAAAGGUUUGUUUUGGUUACCUCUGAGGAAACAGUGGUAUAGAUUACAGCUCUAGUUUACAAGCUAAACAGUUACACAAAAAAAACAAAGUUAGAGAGAGGGGAGGGGUGAGAGCUGAACCCGGGAAAACGAGCCUGUGAGGCGGCAGUGAUGCUUCACCUUCACCCGCUGAUUCUCACUUUAUCUCUCAGUCUCCAUCAACUUCAACACUGAUUAUCUCACUUUUAUCUCUAUCUUAGGUUUCAUUCAUCACUCAAAACUUUCAUCUAAAACACACGACUAAGUCGAAAUGGGGAAAAAUGCAGAAAUUCAUCUGAUGAAGAACAAUAUUGGACUGUGAGCAAAGACAGUCUGGAUGACCGUCUCAAUAACAUGGGGUCUCUCUCUCUCAUUCAGUUUUCCUUCAUUGUGUGUUUAAACAGUACAGUUAUUCUUUGCAGUGCUUUGACUUGCACUGAAUUCAGUGAGCUUUUGUUCUCUGUAAUGAGAACAAUACCAGUGAAAAAACGCCCACAGUUAAAAUAGCAUUAGCUUUAAGACGUUAAAACCGUAUCAAUUGUUAUCUCAGAUCCAUUGUCUCUUGCUUUUCUUCUGUACUUCAGUUUGUUCUGUGCAUAAGUGCUUUGGAAUUAGUUAUAAUUCUGUUAUACUCUCUCUCUCUCUCAGCUUGAUUAUCACCCUCACUGUGCUCUGUGAGAGAGAGUCACCUGGGGCACGCAAUAGAAAUAUCCAAAAUCGACAUUUUGAGAUUCAGGAAAAUUCAGAAUUGUCUCCCCAUUGACCUAUGAAUAUUUUAGUACCUCACUAGAGUCUAUAAAAUGUAUAGAUCACGUUAAAAUGCGCUAUACUUAACUAUUGGCUUUGAGUGGUGAGGGAGACGUCUAUAUUAAACAAUAUAAUAAUCUCGGUCUGUGUUCCAGGCGAGAGAGGAGAAGGAGGAUGUGGAGGAUGAGGGAAUAGUCCUGGACUCUUCUUAUGAAGGUGUCAUGGACUCACCGGUGUGUUCGUGCUGGAUGUCAGAGAGACUGGGCUGCUGAAAUGCAGAUCUCUGAACUACAAGCACAGCUGGACUUCAGCACAGCCAUCUAUCUGCUGCUGCAGCACCAACAGUCCACGUUGACGACACCUGGUCAGUAACACACACAAAUACAUUAUUAUGUGUGAUUACAGCUGGUUACAACAAGAGCUUUAUUUAGAUUGGUUGUAUUGACAUUAAAGGAAAUGGCUGUCUGACUGCUUACGGUGACAUAACAAUGGGAAGCCUUUUUUAUUGGAUAAAUACCUUUUUUAAGGAAGAAAAGAUCUGAGCAACCGCUGAGAUUUAAAUCACAGAAUUGAGAUAAAUACACUGUUCUGUAUCAUUUUGUUAUUCAGAUGGUUGACUGUGUGUGUGUCUGUGUGUUUGUUAGGGCAGAAGUCACAACUUCUGAUGCCUCAGAAAGCGCCCAGAUCCUGAUAAUUUGUAAUUUGUAUAUUUUCUUUUGUAACCGUCCCAAGUAUUUUUUUACUGAUUAAAUACCAGAACAUGUUCCCUAUAUUUUUUGUUUUUGUUUCAAGAGCGUUUUUUUUUGUUUGUUUCAAAUUUUAAGAUUUAAGUUGUUUUAUCUUUGUAUCUUUGUGUGUGUGUGUGUGUGUGUGUGUGUGUGUGUGAGAAAGUAAAGGCUUUUGUAUUAUUAGCCCAUUUUAAUGUCGUAUACAUGUGUUUUUGUUUUUUGGUUCUGGUUCUGUUUUGUGUGUUAGGGUGUUAGUCAAGUUUGACUGUUUUUUCUUUGUUGAAUAUCCAUCAUUAUUUAUGUACUGUUAAAGGUAUUUGUGUUUUGUUAUUUGGUAUAACUUUGGAUGUAUUUCAUAAAUGACUUUUAUGCUUUUAUUUUGCACAUAUGAUACUCUAAUAAAUAUAUAUUUAUUCUGGAA